rnacentral:rRNA from 1 species
GACAGAGGGGGCAAGCGUUGCUCGGAAUUACUGGGCGUAAAGCGUGCGUAGGUGGUUCGUUAAGUCCGUUGUGAAAGCCCCGAGCUCAACUUGGGAAUUGCAGUGGAUACUGGCGAGCUGGAGUGCGGUAGAGGAAGGUGGAAUUCCCGGUGUAGCGGUGAAAUGCGUAGAGAUCGGGAGGAACACCAGUGGCGAAGGCGGCCUUCUGGACCAGCACUGACACUCAAGCACGAAAGCGUGGGGAGCAAACAGG